UACGAAGGGGGCUAGCGUUGCUCGGAAUCACUGGGCGUAAAGGGUGCGUAGGCGGGUUUUUAAGUCAGAGGUGAAAUCCUGGAGCUCAACUCCAGAACUGCCUUUGAUACUGAAAGUCUUGAGUAUGGGAGAGGUGAGUGGAACUGCGAGUGUAGAGGUGAAAUUCGUAGAUAUUCGCAAGAACACCAGUGGCGAAGGCGGCUCACUGGCCCAUAACUGACGCUGAGGCACGAAAGCGUGGGGAGC
rnacentral:rRNA from 1 species